GCAGGCCUAACACAUGCAAGUCGAACGGUAACAGGACGUUUCUUGCUGUUUUGCUGACGAGUGGCGGACGGGUGAGUAAUGUCUGGGAAACUGCCUGAUGGAGGGGGGAUAACUACUGGAAACGGUAGCUAAUACCGCAUAACGUCGCAAGACCAAAGAGGGGGACCUUAGGGCCUCUUGCCAUCGGAUGUGCCCAGAUGGGAUUAGCUAGUAGGUGGGGUAACGGCUCACCUAGGCGACGAUCCCUAGCUGGUCUGAGAGGAUGACCAGCCACACUGGAACUGAGACACGGUCCAGACUCCUACGGGAGGCAGCAGUGGGGAAUAUUGCACAAUGGGCGCAAGCCUGAUGCAGCCAUGCCGCGUGUAUGAAGAAGGCCUUCGGGUUGUAAAGUACUUUCAGCGGGGAGGAAGGGAGUAAAGUUAAUACCUUUGCUCAUUGACGUUACCCGCAGAAGAAGCACCGGCUAACUCCGUGCCAGCAGCCGCGGUAAUACGGAGGGUGCAAGCGUUAAUCGGAAUUACUGGGCGUAAAGCGCACGCAGGCGGUUUGUUAAGUCAGAUGUGAAAUCCCCGGGCUCAACCUGGGAACUGCAUCUGAUACUGGCAAGCUUGAGUCUCGUAGAGGGGGGUAGAAUUCCAGGUGUAGCGGUGAAAUGCGUAGAGAUCUGGAGGAAUACCGGUGGCGAAGGCGGCCCCCUGGACGAAGACUGACGCUCAGGUGCGAAAGCGUGGGGAGCAAACAGGAUUAGAUACCCUGAUAGUCCACGCCGUAAACGAUGUCGACUUGGAGGUUGUGCCCUUGAGGCGUGGCUUCCGGAGCUAACGCGUUAAGUCGACCGCCAGGGGAGUACGGCCGCAAGGUUAAAACUCAAAUGAAUUGACGGGGGCCCGCACAAGCGGUGGAGCAUGUGGUUUAAUUCGAUGCAACGCGAAGAACCUUACCUGGUCUUGACAUCCACGGAAGUUUUCAGAGAUGAGAAUGUGCCUUCGGGAACCGUGAGACAGGUGCUGCAUGGCUGUCGUCAGCUCGUGUUGUGAAAUGUUGGGUUAAGUCCCGCAACGAGCGCAACCCUUAUCCUUUGUUGCCAGCGGUCCGGCCGGGAACUCAAAGGAGACUGCCAGUGAUAAACUGGAGGAAGGUGGGGAUGACGUCAAGUCAUCAUGGCCCUUACGACCAGGGCUACACACGUGCUACAAUGGCGCAUACAAAGAGAAGCGACCUCGCGAGAGCAAGCGGACCUCAUAAAGUGCGUCGUAGUCCGGAUUGGAGUCUGCAACUCGACUCCAUGAAGUCGGAAUCGCUAGUAAUCGUGGAUCAGAAUGCCACGGUGAAUACGUUCCCGGGCCUUGUACACACCGCCCGUCACACCAUGGGAGUGGGUUGCAAAAGAAGUAGGUAGCUUAACCUUCGGGAGGGCGCUUACCACUUUGUGAUUCAUGACUG
rnacentral:rRNA from 1 species